UCAUGAUGUGCUGCUUCAUGAAGUCAUAGCAGGUUAGUUAGCUCCUUUGCAGUAAGUGUAGUUUGUUAAGCUGCCAUCCGAGUUUAACGCAGAAGCUUCCUGAUAUGCUGUGACUCUUACAAGCUACUAAAAAGGAAAAAAGGAAAUAAAAAAAGAAUCAAAUAUGCUUUAUUUAUUGUUUUCUCACUGUCACAUAUUACUUCCCACACAGCAAAGAGAGCUUCAUUUUUUUCCCAGCACCUUUCUAUAAGUGGUAGACCACUAAUAUUGACGGUUAAGUUGAAAUGUAAAAAGUAACCAGAGUACUGUCUCUUAGUUUCAGGAAAACAUUAGUAGAUUUUUAAAAAAUUGAACUUGGAAUUCUUUAACCUCAAGGUCUAAGCCACAGAACAGUGUUCCUUAAAAAAAAAAAAAGGCUUUAUGAUAAAACUUUUAUCACUUUGAACUUACUCAUUUAAAAAUAUCUUAGCUGAAGGCUGUGGAUGGCAGAGCAAUAGAGUUACACAGACUGAAAAAUAAUAACCUGCUUUUCAAUCAUGGUAUCAGAACGGUGCUGGUGGUCUGAAUGACCUGUUUGUAACCUGAUGAUGACACAAAGACAUGAAACUACCUUUGGAAGUACAAAAGCACCUUAUAAGAUCCUCUAUGAGCUCUCACAGCCAGGGGCUGGUUUUCUUAACUAUUGCUUAUCAGCCCAACGUGUCUCUGCAGUAUAUCGCAGACUAAACUUCCCAAAAGCAAUCACUGAUGUUAAAGCUUCCUACUGCAGUACUUCAAAAGAGACCCUUCUCCUUCCUUUCCCAGAGGCUGACUGCUCUGAACCUCCUGAGGGAAACUCCUGGAGGAUAGACACAGCCCAGAAGAAAUGCUGGAAAACAGCAAUAAUAAUUCCUAUCUUCAAGAGAAGGAAAGGAAGAAUCCAGGGAGUUUGGGGCCGGUCAGCUUAACUUCAGUUGCCUGGCAAACACUUGCAUGAAAUAACUAUUUUGCAUCCUCAGAGCUAACCAGCUGGCACCAAUAAAAGCCCCAGAAACAACAGAAUUAAUCACAGAGACAACAUAGCAAUAAAUAUAAAUGUGCUUCACCUCACUGCACUACAAAGUGUCCGCCUCUGGUGACAAGUAAGGAUACUUGUGAAUGAAGAUUUCCCCUUAGUUCUCGACCUUUUCUUUAACU